UAAUUGAGUAAAUUGAUUUGAUUUAGUUUAAUUAAACCCUAAUUGUGAUUGACCAGAAUAGACCAACAAUUUGAAGAUUAACUCAUUUUCUCAGCUAUAUAAGAUGAGGAAUCAAUUGUGAUCAGUAAAUAGUAGUUGAAAAAUUUUCAAUCAAACGAUUUCACAAAUUGUCCAACAAUCAAAGUUAAUCCAGUUCCAUCAUAAUGUUUUCAAAUGACAACUCGAAACUAAAUUGAAAAGUGAUCAAAGUAAAAAACAAUUCCAAUACAACUACCAGUCUAAUUGUUGACUGUUUAAAUAUUAAAUUGUUCAUUUCUCAUCUAAUUGUUUGUGUCUUCUUCUUAAUUAAUUGAUUGUGCUCAUCAAUGGGUCUCAUUGGAAGGAAAAAUAAAUUGUUUCUUUUACUAAUUACGAUCAUUAGUCUUCAGAUUAUAUUCCCUAAUUAUCCAACAUCAACUGAAGCAGGAAUGAAGAAGAAAUUGAAAAAACUGAAAGAAAUUCUUCCCCUGUUAUUGGCAAUGAAGAAGAAAAAAAUUAUCAUCAUUCCGAUUCCAAUUCCACUCAAAAUGAACUCGAUGAGCUCGUGGGGGGACAUGGGAGGUGGGAUGAUGAUGGGAGGGAUGGAUAUGUCCAAUGGUUGGAACAUGAUGAUGUCCGGAGGUGGAGGUGGAGGUGGUUGGGGAGGUGCAAUGGAUUAGAACAAUUAACAAAGUUAAUCAAGAGAAAUUUAAAAGUAAAACGAAUCAACAUUUUCUUUCUCGACGAUUAAUCAAUCAUAUUUAGUGAUUAGUUUAAUUUUCUAGUCUAACUUUUCUUAACCAUCAUUACAAUUAACGCGUUCAGUUUUUAAUUGUCAACGUUACAAAAUUUUCGUUUCAAUUUUUUUGGUACUUUUGUUUAUUAUUAAUUUUUGUUUAUCAAUUCCUGUUAAUUAUUAUUAUGUUUACAAAUUGUCAUUAAUUUACAAAUACAUUAUUUUAUAAAUAAUAAAGUUAAUCAAGAAUAAA